rnacentral:tRNA from 3 species
GAAAAGUUAGUUUAUUAUAAAACAUUAAUCUGUCAGAUUCAAAAAACUAGAAUAGUAUUUUUCU